UUAGAGUUUGCUCCUGGCUCAGGAUGAACGCUAGCGGCAGGCUUAACACAUGCAAGUCGAGGGGCAGCAUGUCCAGCAAUGGAUGAUGGCGACCGGCGGAAGGGUGUGUAACGCGUGAGCAACAUGCCCUAUACAGGGAGAUACACCAGGGAAACUUGGUCUAAUAUCCCAUAGCAUUCAUUGAAGGCAUCUUUAAUGAAUUAAAGCUUCGGUGGUAUAGGAUUGGCUCGCGUGACAUUAGCCAGAUGGUGAGGUAACGGCUCACCAUAGCAAUGAUGUCUAGGGGUUUUGAGAGGAAGGCCCCCCACACUGGGACUGAGACACGGCCCAGACUCCUACGGGAGGCAGCAGUGAGGAAUAUUGGACAAUGGAUGGAAAUCUGAUCCAGCCAUGCCGCGUGCAGGAAGACGGCCUUAUGGGUUGUAAACUGCUUUUAUACGGGAGCAAUAAGGGUUACGAGUAAUCCGAUGAGAGUACUGUAUGAAUAAGGAUCGGCUAACUCCGUGCCAGCAGCCGCGGUAAUACGGAGGAUCCGAGCGUUAUCCGGAAUUAUUGGGUUUAAAGGGUGCGCAGGCGGCCAUUUAAGUCAGCGGUGAAAUUUUGCAGCUUAACUGUAACAGUGCCGUUGAUACUGUUUGGCUAGGAUUUGGUUGUAGUGUGCGGAAUGUGUGGUGUAGCGGUGAAAUGCUUAGAUAUCACACAGAACACCGAUUGCGAAGGCAGCACACUAAGUCAUUAUUGACGCUGAGGCACGAAAGUGUGGGGAUCAAACAGGAUUAGAUACCCUGGUAGUCCACACUGUA
rnacentral:rRNA from 1 species